AGUGAACGCUGGCGGUAGGCCUAACACAUGCAAGUCGAACGGCAGCACAGUAAGAGCUUGCUCUUACGGGUGGCGAGUGGCGGACGGGUGAGGAAUACAUCGGAAUCUACUUUUUCGUGGGGGAUAACGUAGGGAAACUUACGCUAAUACCGCAUACGACCUACGGGUGAAAGCAUGGGAUCUUCGGACCUUGCGCGAUUGAAUGAGCCGAUGUCGGAUUAGCUAGUUGGCGGGGUAAAGGCCCACCAAGGCGACGAUCCGUAGCUGGUCUGAGAGGAUGGUAGGCCACACUGGAACUGAGCCACGGUCCAGACUCCUACGGGAGGCAGCAGUGGGGAAUAUUGGACAAUGGGCGCAAGCAUGAUCCAGCCAUACCGAGUGGGUGAAGAAGGCCUUCGGGUUGUAAAGCCCUUUUGUUGGGAAAGAAAAGCAGCAGGUUAAUACCCCGCUGUUCUGACGGUACCCAAAGAAUAAGCACCGGCUAACUUCGUG
rnacentral:rRNA from 1 species